GGGUACUCACUCUAUCAACUUAAUCUUUUAGACGAGACAUAUCACACAAUUCAAAAACUUACCUUUUCAAGCCGGUCACCCAACCAUAAAGGUGGCCUAGAGAAUCCCCACAGUUAGGCUCGAACCUAAAACGCAGAGGUAUUUUGCACAGCCUUAACCGCUGAAAUUUCAACCCUUAUUGUAUCAAGGUUGUUCAUCGGUUACUAUAUAUUUAAAAAAGAAAUUGAUAUUUAGUAAAAAAAAAUUCAACGAAGGUUGUUCAUGUGACCAACUUUGCCAUGUCAUAGCUCCGCCCCUAGACAAUACCUUGACAGUUGUGCCAUUACAAACUCAAAAGACAAAAGAAAAAAGAAAAAACACUAACACAAACCGUACUCGCUCUAACAACUUAAUCUUUUAAACGAGACAACGAUCACACAAAAUCAAG
rnacentral:misc_RNA from 1 species